rnacentral:rRNA from 1 species
AGAGUUUGAUCAUGGCUCAGAUUGAACGCUGGCGGCAUGCCUUACACAUGCAAGUCGAACGGCAGCACGGGGGGUAACCCCUGGUGGCGAGUGGCGAACGGGUGAGUAAUAUAUCGGAACGUGCCCUGUAGCGGGGGAUAACCUAUCGAAAGAUGGACUAAUACCGCAUACGCUCUACGGAGGAAAGCGGGGGUCGCAAGACCUCGCACUAUAGGAGCGGCCGAUAUCGGAUUAGCUAGUUGGCGGGGUAAAAGCCCACCAAGGCGACGAUCCGUAGCUGGUCUGAGAGGAUGAUCAGCCACACUGGAACUGAGACACGGUCCAGACUCCUACGGGAGGCAGCAGUGGGGAAUUUUGGACAAUGGGCGCAAGCCUGAUCCAGCCAUGCCGCGUGAGUGAAGAAGGCCUUCGGGUUGUAAAGCUCUUUCGGCAGGAACGAAAUGGUUCGUGCUAAUACCACGGACUGAUGACGGUACCUGAAGAAGAAGCACCGGCUAACUACGUGCCAGCAGCCGCGGUAAUACGUAGGGUGCAGGCGUUAAUCGGAAUUACCGGGCGUAAAGCGUGCGCAGGCGGUUUCUUAAGUCAGAUGUGAAAGCCCCGGGGCUUAACCUGGGAACUGCGUUUGAAACUGGGAGACUUGAGUGUGGCAGAGGGGGGUGGAAUUCCACGUGUAGCAGUGAAAUGCGUAGAUAUGUGGAGGAACACCGAUGGCGAAGGCAGCCCCCUGGGUUAACACUGACGCUCAUGCACGAAAGCGUGGGGAGCAAACAGGAUUAGAUACCCUAGUAGUCC